GAAGCCCGCCAGGCCGCCGCUGGUGCAAGUCUCGAAAGAGCGCACUGGAGGAACGUCCGGACUGCACAGGGUAAGCGCAGGAGCUAACGGCUCUCCACCGUGAGGUGAGGAUCAGAGCAACAGAGACGAGCCUAUUUAAGUUAGGGUGAAACGGGCAAUCUCUGCGCGCAGCAACACCAAGUAGGCCAGCGAUGAGGCGACCCGCUGAGCUGGCGGGUAGGUGGCACCGAGCCGCACGGGCGACCGGCGGCCCAGAUUGAUGGCGGUCACAUGCCGGGCAACCGGCAUGCACAGAAUCCGGCGUAUCGGCGGGCUUCACAC
rnacentral:RNase_P_RNA from 1 species